CUGCGCGUUGGGCACAGAUAGUUUCGUCCGUCUGUCCGCCCCCGGAAGUACGCCAAAUUGCACCCCAAACGGACAGAAGCGGACGUCCGUUUGGGGUCGAAAUGGGUCGUGCGGUGGAGUCGGCCUUAGUCCCAGUCCUCGCCACCGCGCUCUGCUCUUCUCCCACCUCGCCGCCGCCGCGCUCGCCUCGCCGCCCCGUUCCAUUCUUCUCACACCUCGCCACCGCGCUCCGCUCUUCUCACGCAUCGCCGCGCUCCCCUCCACCCUCCCUUGGCUCAGCCGCCUCCAACAAAGGUUGGACCUUUUGGUCCAAGAAGGCGACGAAUCGCCGGAUCCGGCGUCGGCGGGGACGGAUCCAGUGGCUGCGAGGCCGGACGCGCCGGAUCCGGUGGCUGCGACCUGGUGCCGUUCCCCUGUAAGGAGCAGUUCGGCGAACUGGAUGGAGGACGUUGGAAGGACGGAAGUGCAGGCAUGCGGCGGGCGGGAGGGCGGCUGGGGCGGGGCCUCCCCGUGCGCGGCGUGCAAGCUGCUGCUGCGGCGGUGCUCGGCGGGGUGCGUGUUCGUGCCCUACUUCCCGUCAGGCGAGCCGCACAGGUUCGCCAGCGUGCACAAAGUCUUCGCGCUAGCAACGUCAGCAAGCUCCUCCAGCAAAGUCUUCGGCGCCGCAGCACCACGCCGUCCCGACGCCGACCCAGUUGCAAACGGCGGCCGCCACCGCUAGCCCGAGGGAAACAAUCUCAGGGCACCAGGCUCUCGAAACCGAGUCAGACUCAGACAACGAGUCACUGGUCGAGACACAGGGCGAAUGUCGUCAGAUACAAGGCGAAUAAGAAGGAUGGUGUCCAACAGGGAGUCGGUUCGACGGUCCAGGAGGAGGAAGCACGCGCAGCUAACUGACCUUGAGUUGCAGGUCGAGCAACUUAAAAGUGAUCAAGCAUGCCUACUCCAUUUCUGAACAGUAGCUAGGGCUGGCACCAUUUCAAGGUUCAGGAAUUGAAUCAGAUGGGUAUCCUCGCCCUCGUCACCUGCAAGCUGGGAACCAGCGGGUUUGGGUCGGCCUCCAUGGUGGAGCAGGUCACCUACGCCGCCGGCCUCACCGUCAUCGUCACAGGGGCAUCUAGAUGGAUGAUGUAUGGCGAUGCAAAUGGGAGCUGGCGAGGAAAGAAGACUGCUGCGACAACCAGAUCGAAUCCCUUCCCUAUAGGAGACCUGAUGCUGAUCCGGAGGCUGAGGAAGAUGGCACGGCACUUGAACAUCCGGAGGCGGAGAAGAAAGAAGAUGCAUCUAUCAAUGGCACAGAGGCGGAGGUGCUGUCGCUGGUGCACGAGCUGGCCGGAGGCGAGAGGAGCUGGCCGGCGCUGGUGCACAAGCUGGCUGGAGGCGAGAGGAGCUCGCUGGCGCUGGAUCGGAGGUGCUGGUGUGUGCGUGCGCGCUAGCUGGCUGGAUCGGAGGCGAGAGGAGCACAUGCGUCUUUUCUGAAUUUAUAGAAGAGCUAAAUUGUAAUAGAAACUUGUAUAGAAUGGUGCGACUCGAGAACAAUAAACUUGUUAGUAUGUCAGCGAUUGUGUUCUGUCAAAUGAACUUCACUACUGGAAAAAUCGCCGUUACGGAGUA